CGGAGGGAGCUAGCGUUGUUCGGAAUUACUGGGCGUAAAGCGCACGUAGGCGGCUUUGUAAGUCAGAGGUGAAAGCCUGGAGCUCAACUCCAGAACUGCCUUUGAGACUGCAUGGCUUGAAUCCAGGAGAGGUGAGUGGAAUUCCGAGUGUAGAGGUGAAAUUCGUAGAUAUUCGGAAGAACACCAGUGGCGAAGGCGGCUCACUGGACUGGUAUUGACGCUGAGGUGCGAGAGCGUGGGGAGCAAACAGGAUUAGAUACCCUGGUAGUCCACGCCGUAAACGAUGAUAACUAGCUGUCGGGGCACUUGGUGCUUCGGUGGCGCAGCUAACGCUUUAAGUUAUCCGCCUGGGGAGUACGGCCGCAAGGUUA
rnacentral:rRNA from 1 species